rnacentral:rRNA from 1 species
AUUGAACGCUGGCGGCAGGCCUAACACAUGCAAGUCGAGCGGAUGAAGGGAGCUUGCUCCUGGAUUCAGCGGCGGACGGGUGAGUAAUGCCUAGGAAUCUGCCUGGUCGUGGGGGAUAACGUCCGGAAACGGGCGCUAAUACCGCAUACGUCCUGAGGGAGAAAGUGGGGGAUCUUCGGACAUCACGCUAUCAGAUGAGACUAGGUCGGAUUAGCUAGUUGGUGGGGUAAAGGCCUACCAAGGCGACGAUCCGUAACUGGUCUGAGAGGAUGAUCAGUCACACUGGAACUGAGACACGGUCCAGACUCCUACGGGAGGCAGCAGUGGGGAAUAUUGGGCAAUGGGCGAAAGCCUGAUCCAGCCAUGCCGCGUGUGUGAAGAAGGUCUUCGGAUUGUAAAGCACUUUAAGUUGGGAAGAAGGUCAGUAAGUUAAUACCUUGCUGUUUUGACGUUACCAACAGAAUAAGCACCGGCUAACUUCGUG